GACGAACGCUGGCGGCGUGCUUAACACAUGCAAGUCGAACGGUAAGGCCCUUCGGGGUCCACGAGUGGCGAACGGGUGAGUAACACGUGGGUAAUCUGCCCUGCACAUCGGGAUAAGCCUGGGAAACUGGGUCUAAUACCGAAUAGGACCACAGGACACAUGUCCUGUGGUGGAAAGCUUUUGCGGUGUGGGAUGGGCCCGCGGCCUAUCAGCUUGUUGGUGGGGUGAUGGCCUACCAAGGCGACGACGGGGUAGCCGGCCUGAGAGGGUGUCCGGCCACACUGGGACUGAGAUACGGCCCAGACUCCUACGGGAGGCAGCAGUGGGGAAUAUUGCACAAUGGGCGAAAGCCUGAUGCAGCGACGCCGCGUGGGGGAUGACGGCCUUCGGGUUGUAAACCUCUUUCACCAUCGACGAAGGUCCGGGUUUUCUCGGGCUGACGGUAGGUGGAGAAGAAGCACCGGCCAACUACGUG
rnacentral:rRNA from 1 species